rnacentral:rRNA from 1 species
UACGGGGGGAGCAAGCGUUGUUCGGAUUUACUGGGCGUAAAGGGCGCGUAGGCGGUCAGCACAAGUCAGUUGUGAAAUCUCCGAGCUUAACUCGGAAAGGUCAACUGAUACUGUGCGACUAGAGUGCGGAAGGGGGCAACUGGAAUUCUUGGUGUAGCGGUGAAAUGCGUAGAUAUCGAAGAGGAACACCUGCGGCGAAGGCGGGUUGCUGGGCCGACACUGACGCUGAAGCGCGAAAGCCAGGGGAGCGAACGGG